rnacentral:rRNA from 1 species
ACUCAAAUGAAUAGACGGGGACUUGCACAAGCGGUGGAUCAUGCGGCUCAAUUCGAUGGUAAACGAAGAACCUCACCAGGGUUUGAAACUCUGACGAUCGCUCUAGGAAACUAGAGCUUCCGCAAGGCGGCAGAGCAGGUGAUGCAUGGUCGUCGUCAGUUCGUGGCUUGAGUUGUUCCCUUCAGUGGGGUAACGAACGCAACCCUCGUUGCCUGUUUUACAUGUCAGGCGAGACUGCCCCCUCACGGGGGAGGAAGGUGAGGAUGACGCCAGAUCAGCAUGUCCCUCUGAUAUCCUGGGCUGCACGCAUGAUACAAUGCCGUCUACAACGGGAAGCAAUGCGGUAACGCGGAGCAAAUCCUUAGAAAAGACGGCCCAGUUCGGAUUGAGGUCUGCAACUCGACCUCAUGAAGCCGGAAUCGCUAGUAAUCGCGGGUCAGCUAUACCGCGGUGAAUACGUUCUCAAGUCUUGUACACACCGCCCGU